GGAUUAGGCAUGCAAGUCGAACGGGCCAGCAAUGGCCAGUGGCGAAAGGGAGAGGAAUACGUAGGUAUCUGCCUCCGGGUCGAGGAUAGCCACGGGAAACUGUGGGUAAUACUCGAUAACGUCUCCGGACCAAAGGUGUAAUUCCACCUGGAGAGGAGCCUGCGUCCUAUUAGCUUGUUGGCGGGGUAAUGGCCCACCAAGGCUACGAUGGGUACGGGGUGUGAGAGCAUGCCCCCGCUCACUGGGACUGAGACACUGCCCAGACACCUACGGGUGGCUGCAGUCGAGAAUCUUCCGCAAUGGGCGCAAGCCUGACGGAGCGACGCCGCGUGUGGGAUGAAGGCCUUCGGGUUGUAAACCACUGUCGUAGAGGAGGAAGGAUCGGUGUAGAGCCGAUUUUGACCUAUUCUAGGAGGAAGGGUGGGCUAAGUUCGUGCCAGCAGCCGCGGUAAUA
rnacentral:rRNA from 1 species